rnacentral:rRNA from 1 species
GAUGAACGCUAGCGGCAGGCUUAACACAUGCAAGUCGAGGGGUAUAGGUUUUCGGACCUAGAGACCGGCGCACGGGUGCGUAACGCGUAUGCAAUCUACCUUUCACAGAGGGAUAGCCCAGAGAAAUUUGGAUUAAUACCUCAUAGUAUAGCAGUUUCGCAUGAAACCACUAUUAAAGUUCCAACGGUGAAAGAUGAGCAUGCGUCCCAUUAGCUGGAUGGUAAGGGAACGGCUUACCAUGGCUACGAUGGGUAGGGGUCCUGAGAGGGAGGUCCCCAACACUGGUACUGGGACCCGGACCAGACUCCUACGGGAGGCAGCAGUGUGGAAUAUUGGUCAAGGGACGCAAGUCUGAACCAGCCAGGCCGCGUGCAGGAUGACGGUCCUAUGGAUUGUAAACUGCUUUUGUACGAGAAGAAACAACAUAACGUGUAAUUUCUUGACGGUAUCGUAAGAAUAAGGAUCGGCUAACUCCGUGCCAGCCGCCGCCGUAAGAC